AACGAACGCUGGCGGCAUGCCUAACACAUGCAAGUCGAACGAAGGCUUCGGCCUUAGUGGCGCACGGGUGCGUAACGCGUGGGAAUCUGCCCUUGGGUUCGGAAUAACAGUGAGAAAUUACUGCUAAUACCGGAUGAUGACUUCGGUCCAAAGAUUUAUCGCCCAAGGAUGAGCCCGCGUAAGAUUAGCUAGUUGGUGAGGUAAAGGCUCACCAAGGCGACGAUCUUUAGCUGGUCUGAGAGGAUGAUCAGCCACACUGGGACUGAGACACGGCCCAGACUCCUACGGGAGGCAGCAGUGGGGAAUAUUGGACAAUGGGCGAAAGCCUGAUCCAGCAAUGCCGCGUGAGUGAUGAAGGCCUUAGGGUUGUAAAGCUCUUUUACCAGGGAUGAUAAGGACAGACCCUGGAGAA
rnacentral:rRNA from 1 species